UACGAAGGGUGCAAACGUUGCUCGGAAUCAUUGGGCGUAAAGCGCACGUAGGCGGCCUCAUAAGUCGGAUGUGAAAUCCCUCGGCUCAACCGAGGACGUGCAUCCGAAACUGUGAAGCUCGAGUAUGGAAGAGGGUCGCGGAAUUCCCGGUGUAGAGGUGAAAUGUGUUGAUAUUGGAAGGAACGCCGGCGGCGAAAGCGACACACUGGACCUUGUCUGACGCUGAGGCACGAAAGCCAGGGGAGCAAACAGG
rnacentral:rRNA from 1 species